AUGGUGGCUGCAAGCACAUGCAAGGCGCCCAGAUCAGAGCUGCGCAGAGGAGCCCUGGGACCAGACAACAGAGAGGAGCAUGCAGUCUCUGUCCAGAACCCUUUUGUCUAUGCCUUGAGUCCCUGUAAGGAAGACACUGCCUUAGUGACACGGGGCUGCCUGGUAAAGGACUACUUCCCUGGCCCUGUGACUGUGAACUGGUCUUCAAACUCCCAGAACAUAAGCUUCGUGAACUUCCCUGCUGCGGGCUCUGAACUCGGGAUCACCACCAGUCUAGUGACCACCUGGAGCAAGUCAGUCAAGAACUUCACUUGUCAGGUGAUACAUACCCCCUCCGAAUUCAACGAGAGUAUAGUGAUCAGAGCGUCACUUGCCAGUAUCACCAAGCCCACCUUGAAGCUGCUCCAUUCAUCCUGUGACCCCAGUGCCUUCUACUCGACCGUCCAGCUCUACUGCUUCAUCUGUGAUCAUAUCCCAGAUGACGUCACUGUCACCUGGCUAAAAGAUAAACAGAAGAUACCUAAUGUAAUUCCACAUAUCUCCCUAAUCAAGAAGGAGGGCAAGCUAGCCUCUAGCUACAGUGAACUCAACAUCACCCAGGAUCAAUGGAUGUCUGAGAGCAUCUUCACCUGCCAGGUCACCUCCCAAGACAGGAACUAUGAGGUCUCUGCCCAGAAGUGCUCAGAGUAUGCGCCACGUGGCGUGAAUACCUACCUGAUCCCACCCAGCCCCCUGGACCUGUAUGUACUUAAGUCUCCCAAGCUUACCUGUCUGGUGGUGGACCUGGAAAGCAAGGAGAACGCCACUGUGACGUGGACCCAAGAGACUGGGAAGCCUAUGGGCUCAGCAUUCCAGAGUUCCAUCAGGCACCAAAACGCAACAAUUAGCAUCACCUCCACCAUCCCAGUGGACGCCAACGACUGGAUUGAAGGCAAACGCUAUAAGUGCGAAGUGAACCACCCUCACCUGCCCAAGUCCAUUGUGCGGUCCAUCUCCAAGGCCCCGGGCCAGCGCUCAGCCCCAGAGCUAUACGUGUUCCCACCACCAGAGAAGGAGAACAAGGACAAACUCACACUCACCUGUCUGAUCCAGAACUUCUUCCCUGUGGACAUCUCAGUGGAGUGGAUGAAGGAUGGGGUGCUGAUCCCAAAAGCCCAGCACAGAACCACAGCACCCCUGAAGUCCAAUGGCCCCGGUCAAGGCUUCUUCAUCUUCAGCCGCCUAGAGGUCUCCAAGACACACUGGGCAGAGAAUAAAAAAUUCACCUGCCGAGUGAUCCAUGAGGCACUGAAAGAACCUAGGAUUCUGGAGGAAACAAUAUCCAAGACCCCUGGUAAAUGAUGCUUCCCUCCAUCUUUCCCAGGGCUCCGUGUAGCUGUGGUGGGGAAUGUGGACGGCAGACCUCUGCCCACUGUUGUAACAACCAGGAAGCCGCCCCCAAUAAACACUCAGUGCCUGCUUAGA